UCUAUAGCUGGAUGGUUAUGAGAAUGCUACAACUCCAUAAAAAUUUGGAUCUUUGCAGACGAGAAAUAAUCAAAGAUUUCUUCUUUGACUUUUCUAUCUAGCACAGGACCAAAAAAAACAAAACCUUUCAUUAUUUUUCCCUUCAAUCUGAAAUGAUCAAUUUCGAAUGCACGUACAAACGUUUAUGUCGAUGCCUUAGCUUAGGUCUAGCAAUACCUGAGAAAUCCUCUUUUUUUCUCCGGCCUUGAGUCAACGGUAUAGUAACUAUUCCUCGUCUCUCUCCUCGAAAUCCCUUCUUUCUGGAUUUUUUUUUCUUAUGUGGUUUUUCUCAAUCAAUCUCUCUGUAGAUGGUCAUUGUCUCGUCUGAUUUGAAAACCCCCAUUUUGAUGAGUUUGUGCAGUAAGUGUUUUCUUCCAAAUUCUGAUUUGUAUUCUUAUUUUUCAUUGAAAGAGUAGAGCAUUUUCGUCAUUGUCUCCAUUCGGGUUGGAUUCAUGGUCAUUUUUUCCCAUUUUCUCAAGAAAAAAUUAGGGAUUUGGUCUUAGAACAAUGGGGUUUUGUUUAGUAUGGAAAACUGAAAUUAAACAUUGGGAAUUAUUGCUUACCAAGCAGAGCUGCAAGGAAUAAAGGAAUACAAGCAAGGGAAAAUUAAAGCUUUAUCUAUUGGCUCAAAUGAGCAUGAGUCUUACUUGAUUCAUGAGAUCGAAGAAAGAAUAUAGAGUUGCAUUGGCAAUUUUUUUGAGAAGUAUCAAUGAGAACCUUGGCAAUCUGACCCUGAUUAAAUGUCAGAAUCUAGCUUCGAAAAUCCAGAAUAUAGGUAGAUUAUGCAGCUUUAGAUCCAUGUGGAUGGAUCAUUCAAAGCAUGUGUUUCGAUGUAAUGAAGGGUAAUGCCGACUCUAUUCCAUCUUCCACCAUGGGAUGGGGAUUAUGGGGGCUGGAAGCUGGAGAAAACACGCCGGUAUGUUAGUGACUCUUACGGUGCUUUCUCAUUUUCACAGACUCCACCUCCACCACCAUGACCAGCUCCAGAGCCAAUACCAAAAUCCUCAACUCCGCCACCGCCUACCUAGGAUGUGGAAUUAGUAGGGCUGCUGAAGGUGGUUGAAGCUAGGUGCUGGAAUUGGGGGGGACAAGUGAUGAACUAGGAAUUGGAGGUGGUGAACUGUCGGUGCAGAUGGUGGUUGUGGCGUUGUUGGAGUUGGUUUAGAAAUGAGGUUUGGUUGUAAUUGGUGCUGGAGGAGGUGUAGGUGAUGGAAUUGGAGGCAGUGGCUAGGAAGUGAUGGCAGAGGUAUAUGUGAUGCUGGCAAUUGGUUGAAUUGGUAGAAUUUGGAAGUGAUUCUUGGAUGUGCUUGAAAUUGUUGCAUGUUCUGGGUUGGAUUAGCUCUUGCGUUGUUUGAUUGUAAUUGGUGGGGCCUGGAGCUGGUGGAUGUGUAAGUGGUGGGAUUGAUAAAGUUGGUGGAUUAGGGUGUGUGGGUGAAGUUAGAAGUGGUGCUGGUUGUGGAAUUGGAGUUGGAGGCGAUGUUGUUGGUGGACUUGGUGGUGGCCAAGGAGUGGGAGGUGAUGCUGUCAAGCCUGAAAGCCCUCUGUGGUGGUGGUGGAAUUGGUGGAGGUGGAGGUGGUGGACGAGAGGUGGAGGAGGUGCUUGUGGUGGGAUUGGAUUAUGGUAGUAGUAGUACAGAACUUGGUGGUGGAGGUGGAUUUGUAGGAGAAGGUGGUGAAGAUUUUUGGCAGGUGGAGGUAUGCUGGUGGAGGUAGUGGGGGUCCCUGGUUGGUGGAAGUGCAGCUUUUGGAGGGAAAUUGAAGACAAGCUUAAUGAUGCGUCGCUUCGGUUUCUGGAGGAACACCCUGAUGAUAAAAAGAAAGACUAGGGGGAGUGUAGUGAACAACAGCCAGCAGAUGCAUUAGUGGCUUCAGCCACUGCGGAUGGUGGUUCUCAAAAUCUUCUGUAGCUCCAAAAAAGCCAGAGAAGUUGACAAGGAAGAAGUCUCUCUUAAGAUAUCGAUGGAAACUAUGAUCAGACAGUUUGUGAAGUAUGUGGUAGUGGAAGAAGAAGAAGAAGAACCCGAGGUUUCCACACAAUGCAGUCAUAUGCGUGGCAAGCGUGCCUUACCCGGAGGAGCGGCCAAGAUUUUGAGAAUUGAUUGGUCAAGGAUCAUGCUGGUGGAGCCAGUAAAUGGACUUAAAAUGAACGGCAUGUUUGAUGUAGAUUAUGCAUCCUUAGCUCGAUAUAAAUGGAUCAUCCAAAGAUUCUUUUAUAUGGAAUGGAGGUAGCGCUGACUCUAUUGCAUCAUUCUCUUUCGCCUUGGGCUGGAACCUGGAACUGUCGAUUAUUUCAUGGAUUUCACAAGACUUGUUGUUGACAGUGUGUCGGAGGUGGUUGACUACUGGGGUUGCAGUAUCUGCUCUACCAACUGGUGUGUUUAAGCUAAGUAUGCACUGGAUUGCCCCAUUCCAAGGCCUACUGUAUACAUGAAAAUCAAAAAAGUAGCUUAUCAAAGGGAAUGGUCUGACAAGGAGUAGCUCACCAUGUUUCAUCUAUGCGUCCGUAUGGUCUUUUUGACAUUGCUGUUGUUUUGGUGGCGAUCUCUAUGACCGUCUCUGACGAGUUGGAUUACAUAGGGAUAUAACACUACUAUGAACAGGUUCCACAUCUCUCUAACCUAUAUAGAGUGUAAAUCUACAGUUUCUAAAUAUCUCCGACCUAUAUAGAGGGUAAAUCUGAAGGAGCCUUGCAUUUCAUUUUAACAUAUAAAGUUAAAAUUUUCAGUAUGUACAAGUCUUAGGUCAACUCUUAUGGAUGUCAAAUUGAAGUUUCAACUUUCCAUCUACAUCAGCUUGAAUUUGAAGCUAGUUCUUAUGGUUUUACUUGAUUCAGUAAAUUUCUCCAUCUCAGAUUUCUCUGGGUCAAAUGGUUGGGCGCAACAGUGUAAUUUCUGUGUGCCCAUUUAGAGCAGAGAACUUGAUUCAACUUUCACUUCAAGCAUUGCUUGAUCCACAACCUAAUAUUGGUUUGGGUAACGGUUUUCCAACUUGAAUAUUGAAAUCGGAGGCUUUCUUAUGGUCCUCCAACUUUGACAGUCAAGUUGCAAAGGUGUUGCCUGAAGUCAUCAUUCAAGCUGUUGAUCAAGCAAAUGUUUGAACCGAAGGUUGAAGCAAGUUUGAGGCACCAAAUGGUUAGUGGACAUUAUUCAUUAUGCCCAACAACUGGGCUAAGGUGUGCCAAACCAUUGGGCGAAAUUAAGUUGAUUCAACUAAAACUAGUAAAAUUAGUCUCCUGUUCAAGCUGGCGUGGAUGUGAAGUUAACUUUGAUGACCAUAAGAGUUUGCCUUAUGGUAAGCUAGGAUGAAACUUUCGAUGAGCCACACGUCUUUUGCAUGUUAACCUACUGCAUUGGUGCUUGGCCUGGUGGUAAUCCUGACAUGUUAGAGGUUGCAAUAUCUGCUCUACCAACUGGUGUUUUUAAGUUAAGUAUGCACUGGAUUGCAGUUCCCCGUUCCAAGGCCUACUGUAUACAUGAAAAAUCAAAAAAGGUUCUUUCUGUCUCCACUUUCUCAAAUUGGAUGUGCUCACUAGCUUUGGGGAUUUUACAGGAAUAAAAUAUAUGAUUCGUGGAAAAAAAUGUAACUUAAUUCUCUAAAUUGGAAGCAGUUAUUGAGAACCACCAAUAACCGGCUCGCACACUAAUAAUUGAUCUCCUAUAAUAAUUCAGCAUCU